AAUCAACGCUGGCGGCGUGCCUAACACAUGCAAGUCGAGCGAGAGGAAGUAGCAAUACUUUAGUACAGCGGCGCACGGGUGAGUAACACGUGGAUAACCUGCCUCGAAGUGGGGAAUAACCCCCGGGAAACCGGAGCUAAUACCGCAUAAUCUGACGAAGUCUGCGGAUUUUGUCAGCAAAGGAGCAAUUCGCUUUGAGAGGGGUCCGCGGCUGAUUAGCUAGUUGGUGAGGUAAUGGCUCACCAAGGCCACGAUCAGUAGCCGGUCUGA
rnacentral:rRNA from 1 species